CUCAGUGCAGACCCAGGUCACUGAGCCUCAGCUUCCAUUGCAGUCACCCACCAUGAACCACCAUAGGCAGGAAUGGCAGCAACGGCAGCAGACACAUUCUAUGCUUAUGGUAAUAUUUUAUUCCCUUGCAAAUUAUGCUGUUUUAAUGUGCAUUUUAUACCAGACUUCCUUUAGUAAUGUUUUCUUUUGAAAUGGUCCAGAUAAUUGUUUUGGUUAACUUUGCUGUGUGUUCCGUAGCUUACCUCCUUUGUAAUGUUUUAUUUUGAAAUCUUUAAGAUAAUAUUUUCGUUUCCCGUUAUUUAUGUUGCUUUGCAUGUAUAACUUAUAUUUGACUUUCUUCGGUAACGUUUUAUUCUGGAUUGCUUUCUUUUGAUGUUUUGAUGUAGGUUGUAAACCGCUUUGAGGUUUUCCCCCCUUAAAAAUGCAAAGCGGUACAGAAAUGAAAUGAAUAAUAAGAAAAAUAAGCCGAAAGAAACAAAAUCAACUUAAAAAGCAUGACUGAAAUAUACGAUAAAACAGAGUCAUAAAAUUAAUAACUUUUUUUUUUAUAUAAAAGGAAAUCCAAAUUUAGUUUAAGGGAUCUGGAAAAUGCUUAUGUAAGGAGAGGUAUCUAAAAAAAUAUGUGAUUUUAUUAAAGCUUUGUAAACAUAGAAUACAAGAAGAUAAAAGAAACUAAUUUAAAUAAAUACAAAAACAGAGAAAGAUAAAAGAAAAUGCAGAGUGCUCUCUCUAAGGUAGCCCUUAACCCUUGUCACUCUUCAAGAGCCAGACAUGGAAUGCCAUUGCAGGUGCAGCUGCUUGAAUUUCAGCUGGGAAGGCAUUCCACAAAAAGGGUUAAAGGUAAAGGACCCCUGGACGGUAAAGUCUAGUCAAAGGCACUAUGGGGUUGCGGCACUCAUCUCGCUUUCAGGCCAAGGGAGCCAGCGUUUGUCCAGACAGCUUUCCAAGUCAUGUGGACAGCAUGACUAAACUGCUUCUGGCACAACGGAACACUGUGACGGAAACCAGAGCACAUGGAAAUGCUGUUUACCUUCCCACCAUGGUGGUAUCUAUUUAUCUACUUGAACUGGCAUUGCUUUCAAACUGCUAGGUUGGCAGGAGCUGGGACAGAGCAAUGGGAGCUCACUCCAUUGCACGGAUUCGAACCGCCAACCUUCCAAUCGGCAAGCCCAAGAGUCUCAGUGGUUUAGACCCAGCGCUACCUGCGUCCCUUUGGCAUUCCACAGACCCAGUACAAUCCAUGAAAAAGCCUGCCUUCAUCUAAGCACAAGCCAAUAACUAUCGGCCUUGCGACAAGGUUAGUCAGGUUCUUGUUAAUACAUGAUGCCUGUUACAGAGGAACUGGGUAGUCAGCCUCAACGAUCACACAACGUAGCCUAUGCAUGGACAGUGUGACUGCAAAUAGGUUUUUAAUUUCACCAAUGCUGUCAAAUAUGUUUAGUCAAUGGCCAGGUCCUGCGUGAUGUGUCGGUAGCUCCUGUAUCCUCACUUUCCAAACCUCGAGCAAAUGAAGAAGCUCCCGGUGUAGAUGGAAGAAGGGAAGUGGUGAGCGCCAGAGACGUCAACACAGCGCAGCACUUUUGCGAGCCUCUAUUCAGAUUAUUAAAAGACUGUGACUGUAUCUAUGGUAACAUAAAGAGGGAAGCUUUGGCUUUUCAAAAAUGUUCAAGGAUUUUUAAAAAAUGCAUUUUGUGUCAUAUUCUUUUUAAUUAAUAAUAAUAAAAAACCAGCACUGAUGUCAUAGUAGGUGACCUUGUAGUAUGAGCAGGUAGGUGGGAAGGAGAACGGAUGGCAGAUGGAACCAGAUCCAUCUAAAACGUGACUCUCAUACCAAUUGAACAUAUUGCAUAAGGCAGUUGGUGUGUCUGCCAUAUGACAGCCUCUAGUGGGAGUGGUAUGUGCAGUGUAAGGCUGUCCCCGAAACCCAAAAUUGUUCUAGACACCCGAGGACUUUAAGUGUGGUGUGUCACUCUCUUCGUUGCUGCUCUCAUCAACCGUUUUCUCUCCUGCCAGCUAACCCUUGAUCCAUUCCCGCUCACUCCCAUCUGUCUUAUGUGGCUUGGCGACCUGCUCCAGCUGCUCAGCCAGGCAGAUUAUUUCAUAGCAAUGACAGAGAUCAAGUAUGGAGGACAUCAAAAGUUUCAUUUAUCAGCCAGGGAUCAGAAGAACUCAGUCUAACUCUCUUUGUGCUCUUAUCAUUGCAGCCACAGUUUGGUGCCAUGGGAGUUGUUCUGUUGGGUUCUGAAACUGCUGGGAGCUGUUAUCGGCAGAUUUGGGGAGAAUUGUCACCGGGGUGCCAACUUGAAUAAAAUAUCGUGGAG